CGCAGGAACACCUCAGCAAGUGAGAGUCCAAAAGUGGCAGGCUAAAACCCGGAACCUCAAUCAGUGGCUGAUUCCAGAUGAGAGGCUCCCUCCUGGGCACACACAGCCACUGUUUGUUCCUUUUGUUUAGAAUCCACCAUUGAAAAGGGAUACAUGAAUACAAACUGUUGAAAGGGAUGGAAAGUGUUUUUUAUGAGAAUGUAAAAUUGUGAGCAUUUGGAUUAGAUUUAUAACAGUGGUUUGGUGAGGCAUCAGCAUUCUUUGGCCAAGAAGGCUCAAGAGCUUGUAAAACGACAACUCCCACCCAGCUGCCUGCAUUUUUGGACUCUGGGAGCCUCUAGAAAACAUGUACUAAAGCCAAGGCCCGUGGGCUGAAUCCGACCCACCAUGAUCUUUGACGUGGCCCUCCACAGGCUGGACUAUAACUCCUGUAUUCCUCAUCAUUAGACAUAAUGACUAGAGCUGAUGUGAGUUGUGAUACAGUAACAUCCGGGAGGCUGCAAGUUGUUCUGUUUAGUCAGGAUAGUGAGGUUGGACUUUAGAUACAAGGCUUGUAGAUAUGAUGUCUGACUUUAAACUGUUAUUUAACCUAUCCCCAACCUCAGAACCACACGUGCUGUUGGGUUGCAAUUUUUAUUAUCCCCAGUCCACAUGGCAGAUAAUCAAAAGUGAUGGGAGUUGCCGUUAAACAUCACCUGGGCACCGAAAUUGGGUGAAAACUAAAGAACACCUAUCACUGUCUAAAAAAUUAUAGUUGGCUCUCUGUAUCCACAGAUUCUGAGUCUAUUGAUUCAAUGUCCCUUUGAAGGCAACUAUAAGACUGAUGUGGCCCUUGAUAAAAUAAGUUUGACCCCCCUGCUGUAGAAUUACUGCCUUCUGACACCACUUUUACUACCAUGGCUCAAUACCAUGACACAAGAGUUGUCAUUUACUGCAACAUCUGCAUGCUUUGGCAGCAAAGGUAAAUGCCUUGUCAAAUUAUAAUUCCAAUUUUUUUAUCGUGUCAAAAGCAACUUGAGAACAUACUGCAAGUGGCUUCUGAUGUGAGAGACUUGGCCGUCUACAGAGUCGUUGGCCAGGGAUGCCUGGAUGUGUUAGCUGGGAGACUUCUCUCAUGUCCUUGCAAUCUAGAGCUGACAGAUGUGAGCUCACCCCAUCUCGCGGAUUCAAACCGGCAACCUUCAGGUCAGCAGUUCAGCCGGCACAAGGGUUUAACCCAUUGUGCCACCACGGCUCCUAUAAUUCCCAUGAUUCCAUAGCAUUGAACCAUGGCAGCUAAAGUGGUGUCUAGUGCAUGAGUUACGGCCGGUCCAACAAUGAGGCGAAUUAAGCGGUCGCUUCGGGCGCCAAACAUAUGGGGGUGCAGUCGAGACUGUUUUUUCUGUUGAUUUGUUGUAAAACAUGAUGUUUUGAUGCUUAAUUUGUAAAAUCUUAAUGUAAUUUGAUGUUUAAUAGGCUUUUCCUUAAUCCCUCCUUAUUAUCCAACAUUUUUGCUUAUCCAAUGCUUUUAUUUUUCAGUGAUUGUUUUGUGGGGGGGGUGUCAAAAUUCUGUUCGCCUACACUUGAAAUGUACCUAGGGCCGGCUCUGAGUUACACAGAACUCUUCUUUCAGGUUCAGAGACAGGAAGAGAAAAGCUUUUUUUCCCCAGGCUGCAACCUGAUUGAAGCAAUAUCUUCUAGCUCUGGGGCUAGUUGGAGGUCUUAUGUUGUCCCUCCACCUUGAGAUUCCGUUGAGAAGCUUGAGUGUGGCUGGCUUCUUAUCCCUGCAGAAGAGGACCCGGAGAGAGGCAGGUGGCGGUGGAGGGAGCUGGCAGGCAGAGUGGACGGUCUGCUUGGUGACUCAUCUGUUUGCGGAGGCCUGCCCUAAACACCAAGCCAAUGCCAUACUUUUACACAAUGUAAGCCAAAACUGAUUAAGGGAUAAUAAUAGCUUUUCAAGACAUCUGACAAGCAGAGGUAAUGUGGAUCGGGCCAGGCCUCUCUUUUAGCAACAUCCAAGAAUGUGUUUUCAAUGCCAGGUCGGGAAUUUGUCUGAAACAUAUACAACAAAGAAAAAAGUGCUGCUAAGAAUAUACAGUGUGCCCAGAUCCUAUAUCCUUUGUUUGAAUGGACACAUAGUAAAGGCAAUUGCCUUCUUGCAAAUAUUUUCUAUAGUACAUUCCUUUUCAGUCAAGGCCUUUAUCAACCAUUGUCUUGCCUCAUUUUCUGAAUUGGACUCAUAAAACUCCCUUGGUUUUCCACCACUCCUGCGUUUUUUCCUCUGAAAGGAAAUCCAUUAAGGAAAGAAAGGUGGUUCAGCUGCAUAGUUGGUAGUGAAGAACUCGUCGUUUCUAAAAUGCUCCUGCUUUUUUCAGGAAUAGGACUCAUGUGACACUCAAGAUGUCUAUUCACCCUUAGCUUUGCUGGCUGGGGCUGAUGAGAGAUGUAGUCAGACAGUCCCUGCAGCACCUCUUGGUUCCCACUAAGCAAGUUCUGUGUGCCAAGUGUGGUCCAGAUCCGUUAUCGGUGCAGUUCAGAAGUUUCUCUGGAUGCAGCGUGAACUACAACUCCCAUGCUGAUGCUUAUUCCGUGAUAUGAACUGGGAAGCCCUGGCCCUUGAGCGCUCUAAUUGGAGGUCAGAAGAGGCACGAAUGGCGGGCUUAAGGGAGAAACAUGCCAAGAGGAAGGCGUGUCAAGCCAACCCUGACCGGGACCGCCUUCCACCUGGAAACCGAUGUCUCACUGUGGGAGAAAAUGCGGAUCAAGAAUAGGUCUCUUCAGCCACCUACGUAACGGACACCCCCCCCCCCCAAGACGCCAGAAAUGGAGGACUAUCAUCCUCGGCCUACGAGGGAUCACCUAAGCUAAAGCUAAGAUAUGAAUGGUUGUAAUUCACAAUUUGCCAGAACAUUCCAGAUUGCCUUUCCCAGUUAGAUGUGCUCUAGGCAACUCCAUUUAAAUCCAAGAUAGAAAACCUGGUUUUAGGCUAAACUAAAGACAAAAGCUAAAUGAAAUAGCCACCGGGAAGUUCAAAGGGGCCCUGGAAUGCACCUUGUGUGCAUAUUUCCAUCUCAUUUGGAAAGCAAGAGCACUGAAACAUAUGCAGCUUUGUAUGCUGAUUCUUUGUUCUCAGUUCUUCUUUGCUAUAUGCUGCGAUAUUUUUCCAGAAAGGGGAAAAAACAUAUACGGGCUGCAUCUUGAGUCAUACAGGUUUUUAAAAAACACCUGUGAAUGCUAUUGUACUGCCUUGGAAACAGCCAAUAGAUGGGAAAAAGAUUAGAUAGCUGUUUGUUGGGAGUGUUUUGAUUGUAUCCCUGCAUGGCAAGGAGUUAAUCUCUUCCAAUUCUGUGUUUCUAAAUAAUGGAGUUAACGGGUUAUAUAUUUAGGUAAUGAGAACAUAAAUGAAGUCAAAUUUCAAAAGUAAUGCAAGCAAGCAGUAAUAAAGCCACAUGCCAAAAGUAGUGCAAUGAGUGACGACAAAGUCACUGUUCAAAUGAGUAAUACGUUUCAGUUUGUUUAAUUGUUGUUUGAAAAAAAAAACUUUGAUAAGGAUUUCCCAAGUGUUAUGCCAUUAGCUUUUCAAUCAGAAAGUUCCGAGCAACAAAAUAAUAAAAUAAUUAACAGUAGCAAAAAAAAAAUAUGAAGAAGCACAAAGAGUGAAGCAAGUUACUUAAUGUUGUAUUAAGAAGGAAUUCCUUUUCAGACAGUAUAAGGAAUAAGGAGAGUGGGGUUUUUUUUAAGAAGUCGCCCUCUGCACUCUUAUGCUGAGGUGUGUCCCAACUCCACCGAGACCAUUGUCUCUCCAGUUCUAAAAGCAGGAGGUGAGUCAGUGUGGUGUGGUUGUUUGAGUGUCAGACUAUGACUCUGGAGAACAAGGUCUGUUUACCCCUUUAGCCACUGGAUGGCUUUGAAUGAAUCACAUCUUUAAAGCCUUAGAAAACCCCAUGAUAGGGUUACUUUAGGGUCACUAUAAGUAGGAAAUGACGUGAAGGCAUACAACAACAGCAGCAGCAGAGAAGAGAAACAAGGAAAACAAGAUUCUAAGUGAGGUUACUAUGCUCUUAAUGCUGCCAUUUAUCUACCGCUAGUUACAGCAGUGGUAGAUAAAUAAGGUGCUUAUACAUUUAUGUAUUUUUUUUCUUGUUUUUCUAUUUCUACAGAGUAAAGUCUGUCCCUACUUAACCUUCAACAUCAGUAAUUCCAUCCCUAGAAGUCAGCAUGCAGGCUGAAGAAAUUUAAAGUUCUCCAGUCCUGCAAGCUGAGAGGUAUUUGUGCCUGCCUCCAUUAUACAUGUACAUGUGUGCGUGCACGCACACACACGCAGCACUUACAAUUCAGCAUUAUUUAUGAUCCUGGAGUGGUGGAAUUUCUGAAAGCAGAACACAAUGACUUUAAAAUUAAAAUAUAAAAAGGGCGGACAAAAUUGUGCUCCUUGAAUUUGUAGAAGGCUUUAGGCCAUGCUCAAAUGAGACAUGUCGCUUGGGUCUUUUUAUUUGCUCUGGUUCUGACAGUACAAGUUUUCACAUGAGAAAUGCCUUUGGCUUAAAGAUGCUUGUUAAUGCUGGUGCUUAUAGCUGUUUGUUUUGGGGCAUCUAAGCUUAAAAAUAUAUAAAGGGAGAAAAAUCAUAAUGAAAUCAAAUGUGGAUUUUUGAACUUUGUGUGUUGCAUUCUGUACGCCAAAUGCUUGAGCUGAAAAUACAAGAAAUAAAGACUUACAAAAGAAUCCAGUCUGUAUUCUAGCAUUUGCUACCAAAUUCUUGCAAGGGAGAAGUCUAUUGCUUGAACACAGCCUAAGCUUGUUAAAAUGCCGCUACGUUAUCUUUUCCUCUGGCAGCAUGUUCUUGUUUAUUGGUUAUUUGUAAUUUUAGAGGAUUUUAUAUAGUUCUUUGGGUGCUAUCUUUUAGCAGGAAUAAAUGGCUCUAUAAAUGACUAAAAUAUCCAGGGGAGUAAUAUGUUUCUGUAUGAGAUAGCUGAGAAUACCUUCGUAUUUGCUACUUUAUAGUGAGUCUAUAUGAAGUCUAUUACACUGGUUUAAGAGACUUGACAUUAAACACACUUGGAUAAGGUCUCUUAGAUGUUAUUUUGUGAGUUGCAACAUUCAUUUUCCUUCAGCAAGAAAAUAAAUUAACAGGCUAGCACAGGUAUGGCACAACAAUGUCAUGUUCUCUUCUAAUGUAAUGCAUUCGUUUUGUGGGAGAGAUACUAUUAAGGAACAUGGAAAAUGGAAAGCGCUUUUUCACAGAUAUUUGUAAGUCAAGAAAAGGGUUUUGAUAAAAUUCAAAAUUAUCAAGGUAUAGUACAAAAUGUGGAAUGCAAUAGAGAUCAAUGGCAUUAAAGGACUCUGAUGGGAAAAUGAGUUAAAUCUACUUCUAGAUUACUACUUGAGAAGUAUGGCAUGCUGAAGAUGUUUGAGGUAUCUGCUAGGAACCAGCAGUAUUAUCUGCAGAAUACUAAAGUGGACAUUUUAAAGCCAAACCUUGUAAGGUCAUUUAGGUACACUUUGCCCACAUUUGAUGCAGAAGGACAGAUAUCAGUAAUCAGUACUAAAGAAAUUAUUUUUUUAAGUGAGGUUUCUUGGAUCCAUUAUGUAAUUUGGAGCACUGCAUUGUAGAUAUCAAGUGCUCUUUUCCCAAUGGCCUGUACUGGUUAGGGAAUUCCCUGUGAGCUAGCAAUGAGUCAGAGCAGUAGCAUAAAUCUUAUCUGUACAUCUAUACACAUAAUAAAAGUGAAAAUCUGUAUGUGUGUAUGUAGCACAGGUGUCCUCUCACACAGACAGCCUCCGGCCUUCACAAACAGGCUAUAGUUCCCAGUGCUGUGGAGCCACCAAGUCACUCCCUCCAAGGACAUUAAAGGCUACAGUGAGCACACCCCAGUGUUACUUUCUCCCUCUAUUUGCAUGACUCUGCCCACUGCCUCUCCCUUAACCCUUUCCUACCCUUUCCUAUGGAACAGAGGAAACAGAGGAAUUGAUCAGCAACUGAACAGACUGGAGAGGUUUGGGGAGAAUUCACCAUGAUUUAUAGGAGUUGUAGGGCCUGGGGAUGUAUAAUUCACCUGCAGUCUAAGAGGACUCCGAACUCCACCAAUGAUGGACCUGGAACUCACUUAGUGUGAUGACUCAUAGGCCAUGUAGUCCCGUUCCUAGCGCUGUUGUGACAGAUGAAGAGGAAAACUUAGGUUUCCCACCGUUUCAGCCAGAAUUGGAGCUUUCACAGCCAGAGAUGGAGCCCCUGCACCUGCAGGAGAUUUGCCUCCCAGAAGUUUCCCAAACAAGCACUGAGCCGAAAUCUCCCCCUUUUUCUCGCCGUGAUUAUUGUCAACAACAGAGAGGAGCUCAACAGGCUAAUCGCAGAAGCCUGAGAAUCGCGGCCAAACAAAUGGUUGAUUAAAACUGCUUCCCAUGGGAAUCUUUAGGGAGUCAUGCAUCUGGACUCAGAGAAUGGCUUUCGGUUCUGGUUCCCCAGAGAAUUGUUCUCUGGCGGGAAAACGAGACCCUACUUAGGUGUUUUGCCCUCGUAGGAAUCUUGCGGAGUCAAUUCGUCAACUACGGGAGUAGGUUGUGUGUGGACUACGCUCCCGUUUCCAGCCUUGCUUUGCUUCCCAGGACCUUGUUUUGCUUCACGAACCCAGCCUUGCCUUCCGGACCUCGCCACGAAUUUACCACGGAUCCUGUUUUUGCUCCUUGUUCUUUGUUGCCUUGAAUUAAGCCUUGUAUCCAAGAAUCAAGUUAUUUCCUUGCCUUGCCUAAGUUUCAUGGACUAAAGGACCUUGUCUUCUCCCCUCACUUUGCUUGGCAAAGUGAGUGUUUCGGUUACUGGAUUACAACUUUGGACCUUAAUAUUUCAUAUUGGACAUUGUUUCUCUGGACUAAUUUUGACCUUCCCUGAAAGGUCUACUUCUGAACUAUUUCCUACACUUGCUUUUAUUAACUUUAUAUAUUUCCUCAAUAAAGAUAUUAGAUAGAUUCUGGCCUCUGUGUAUGGUUAUUGGUGCUCUGCAGCCUGGGUCGUGACACUUAGCACACAGAGCCAACAUGGCCAACUUUGCAUACUGCCGAGGUUUGAGGGUGAUUGACCUUAACAUCCAGGAGUUAUCGUUCACCCAUAUUCAGAGAACACUAAACCCAUCUGAUGACAGAUCUGGACCAAACUUGGCACACAAUUUCAACAUGGCCAACUGGGAAUACUGGUGGAUUUUGGGGGUGAUUGAUCUUUAAAUCUGGGAGUUAUAGUUCACCUGUGUUCUGUGAGUCCUCUGAACCCCACCAAUGACGGAUCUGGACCAAGCAGGGCACACAGACACAACGCUCCCAACUUUGCAUACCGGUGGACUUUGGGGUGAUUGACCUAGGCAUCAGAGAGUUAUAGUUCACCCUUAUAGAGAACAUUGAACCCAGCAGAUGACGGAUCUGGACCAGAUUUGACACACAGACCCAACAUGGCGAACUGUGAAUACUAGCAGAGUUUGGGGAGGGUUGACCCAAUAUUUUUGGGAACUGUAGUUCACCCACAUCCUUAUGCAUUUUCUAAUGGGCGCAUUCAUAAAAAACAACAGGAAAGACUGAGUUCUUUUGUAAGAACUAGCGUAACGUAUGACCAAACUGAUAUUACCUAACAUCCAAAAACAAACAAGACCCUUUUCAAAUAUCCCAGGCACCACCGGGUACCCAUGCUAGUCUAUACUCAUAAUAAAAGUUAAAAAUGUGUAUGUGUGUAUGUGGAGGAGGUGUCCACUUACACAGACAGCCUCCCACCUCCACAAACAACUAUAGUUCCCACUAAGCAGGAGACACCAAUGGCCCUUCCUCCACUGACAUGCAGGUUAUAGUGAGCACCAUGAACAUGUAUCCCAAGCCCCACCAGUGUCGUCCACAAACACCAUUCUGCCCCCACCCAAGUGAAGGCAAUUUCCCCCAAGAUGUUCUGAUUUUCCUCCAGAAUGGACAUCCCAGUGUUCCUUAAUUUGCAUGACCCCACCCACUGUCUCUACCUUAACCUUUUCCUACCCUUUCCUAUGGCACACAGUUAACAGAGGAAUUGAUCAGCUACUGAAAAAGAGGUUUGGGGAGAACUCACCAUGCUUUACAAGAGUUGUACUUGACCUACAUCCAGAGAACACUGUUAACCCAACCAAACUGGAUCAAACUUGCCACAGAUAAUGGGACUUGCAGUAUCUUCACUGAUACAGUGACCCUCACCAACAAUGGACCGGGACCAACCUUAGCACAGAGAAGCCCCAUGACCAACUCAACAUACUGCGGGGGUUAGUGAGAAUGGAUCUUGAUUUUGGGAGUCCAGAAAGCACUGAAUCCAGCUAAUGUCAGAUCUGGACCAAACAUGGCACAUUGACCCAUACAGGCCUGCUUUGGGGGUGAUUGACCUCGGAUCUGGGAGUUGUAGUUCACCCUGAUCCAGAGAGCCCAAUGAUGGAUCUGGACCAAAUUUCAGUGAUACAGUAGACUCUCACUUAUCCAAGCUAAACGGGCCGGCAGAAGCUUGGAUAAGCAAAUAUCUUGGAUAAUGAGGGAUUAAGGAAAAGCCUAUUAAACAUCAAAUUAGGUUAUGCUUUUACAAAUUAAUCACCAAAACAUCAUGUUAUACAACAAAUUUGGCAGAAAAAGUAGUUCAAUACGCAGUAAUGUUAUGUUGUAAUUACCGUAUUUACUAAUUUAGCACCAAAAUAUCACGAUAUAUUGAAAACAUUGACUACAAAAAUGGCUUGGAUAAUCCAGAGGCUUGGAUAAACGAGGCUUGGAUAAGUGAGACUCUACUGUAUUACCUAACAUCUGAAAACAAAUAAUGAUUUAUUCUAAUAACCCGGGCACCGCCGGGUCUCCAAGCUAGUUAUAAAUAAAUAAACCCUCCUCAAGUGCCAUAGGUACUGUAGUUAAGCAUUCAGAAAGCAUAACUGGGAAUGUCAGCAAACUGCUGCAGGUAGUGAGUCCAUUUUACUGAUGACAUGGCUGCCAAACCACCACCACUACCUGCCUCUCAGAUAUCUUAUUGCCUGAAUAGCAAGGAGCUUUUCUUUGAGCAAUUCCCCCAAGCAACUGGCCCAAAAGCUCUGUCUGUCUGAGCCAUGCUUCCUUUACUCUGAGACAUCACAGUGGUUUGAUCUCUUAGUCCUGUAAUCACAUGGAAUAGGAAACAGCUAAAACUGCCAUUACAAUACUUAAUGGUUAGAUGGUGAAAUAGAUGCACCUUUGCCAAGGAGGUGGAAUUAUUUUGGCUGAAUGCCUCUCCAGGACUAACCUAUCAGGUUUGAUAAAAAUGGCCUUAACUCUAUAUUUCUUCCAUACACCUGAUUUUGCCCUCUCUUUGAUACAAAGACACAUGGGAUUCCGUGGUUUUAUCUGCCCCCAAAAGUAUGAAGCUUUCUGCACCUAGAGUAAAAAAUAUCUGUACAGUGAUGAUACCUAUCCAGUAAAAUAUUGAUGGUGAAAGCAUUAGUCUCUUUCCCACAUAUUGGAUUGUGUGGUAGGGGACUAAUGUGGUCACCAACAUUUCUUUUUGAUCUAGUUUUAUAGAACAGGAAAAACGGUCUAUAAAAAGAAAAAUACUAUAUAUGAAAUGUUCAGAAUAUUGAUGAAGUUACUUGAUGCAAAGUCAGUGUCAUCAUAAAUGAUGGAGAACAGUAUGUGAUGGGGAAAUGUAAUUUUGUGCCAUUAAGCUCUGCUGAAUCAUCUUGGAUGUGGUGAGCCACAGCAGCAGGAGCCAAGAAAGGCUGCUCAAAGGAAAACCUUGAUCACUGCCAUAUUUACCAUGAACAACUGCCACAACUGAGCUUUUGGAGAUUUAAGGAAUUCUUCAACUAGUUGUACCAUGCAAUGCAGUGUUGUUGCAACUAAGAAAGUGCUCAAGAAAGUAAAAACAUCAUUUUCAUUGCUAGAAGUGCAGAAACAGUCAGUCCAAAGAAGGAGUGUAUUCAGAAGAAAAGUUGUUUUGUUUUUUUAGCAGCUCUAUCCUUGGAAAUGCGAAAUGGCAUUUUUAAUGUUAUGGUCACAAAAUGAAGACUAUAGCAAUGCAGCAAAAAAGCGAACACAAACCGCAUGGACUCCAGCUCUUCCUUUCUGAUGUCAAGUCAUGUAUGUUUUUUCUCAAUUAGUAUUACAUGGAAAAUUAAUUUGUGUAAGUGCUUUUAAAAAGUGUUACCCACUAUAUACUAUGGAGGAAGCUAAAGAGAACCAUGCAGAUAUUGUCUAUAACAAUUGCCCUCCCUCCCUCCCCCUCCCUCUCCAUCCCUUUUUUGUCCAAUCCCUUCUCUAAAGAGUUUUGUUUUACCUCUCAACAUACCUUUGGUUUUUUUUUUAGCCUUUUAGUUUUUAUGUACAUGCUUUUAUGAGACUGUACCCCACUUAUGCUGGUCUAAGACUAUAAUAAAGAUUUUGAUUUGAUUUGAUUUGUCUAUAUCAGUGGUUCUCAACCUGUGGGUCCCCAGAUGUUUGGCCUUCAACUCCCAGAAAUCCUAACUGCUGGUAAACUGGCUGGGAUUUCUGGGAGUUGUAGGCCAAAACGCAUGGGGACCCACAGGCUAAGAAACACUGGUCUAUAAUAUCUCUGAAUAAAAGGUAUCUCAAUAGGCAAUGGGAAAGACAGCCACCUAUGGCCCAGUAGUCAGGAAAGCUAAAUGGAGCAAUGAUUCAACAGAAAGCAGCUGUAUUCCCUCAAACAGGGAACUUUUAGCAGUACAUGAAAGGUUUUGUGCAAGUCAUUUUCCAUCAAAACAGAUCACAGGGGCAAUUCUCUUGUCAAGUUGUCUGUAUAUUAGACAAGCGACUCAUUAACAUUUAAUUUCUCAUUUUUAUUAAUGAUACAUACCAAGUAACCAGAAGGUAUUAAAAUAACAUGAUAUUUAAAACAGGAAAAGGAAAUUUUAUUUAAAAAAUUAAAUUCAUCAGGACAUUUGCCAUUUAUUUAUAUUAAAUAGUUUACCACUUAAGAGGGAUGCAAAGCAGGAAACAAAAGGCAUCACUGUCAAAUUUCAAAUGUAAUUUUCAGCCUUAAAAUCAUAAAAUGUAUUACAGAACAAAAUUUAAAAACACUAGAAAAUAUCACAUAACAAUUUAAACACAGCAGUUAAAAGCUUUGCCAAGAUGAAACAUUUGACCAUUGAUAGAACACUGGUAAAGGUGGUUAUAGCCUAAAUGCUGGAGGCAAGGAGUUCCACGAAUGGCAUGUAGUCACGAAACUUUCUUUAAUGUUUAAUUUUUUCAAACAUCCGGUUUGGACUCAGAAUGCGCCUUGGAUGUAUAUCUACUUGUAUAUUUAUGAAUGUUUUAAUGUAAUGUAAUUUAAAUGAUUUGAAAUGUGAUUGCAACUGUUUUAUAUAUGUGUUUUAUAUUUGUAAGUCGCCCUGAGUCCCCUAAUGGGUGAGAAGGGCAGGGUAGAAAUGUUGUAAUAAAUAAAUAAAUAAAUAAAUAA